AUCCAGCUGACAAGUCCCAAAUAGGACAAAACGCGUAUCCUAGAU
rfam:Schistosoma mansoni strain Puerto Rico chromosome 7, complete genome